rnacentral:rRNA from 1 species
UGCUGGAGGUAUCAGAAGUGCGAAUGCUGACAUGAGUAACGAUAAAGGGAGUGAAAAACUCCCUCGCCGGAAGAUCAAGGGUUCCUGUCCAACGUUAAUCGGGGCAGGGUAAGUCGACCCCUAAGGCGAGGCCGAAAGGCGUAGUCGAUGGGAAACGGGUUAAUAUUCCCGUACUUCUUAUAAUUGCGAUGGAGGGACGGAGAAGGCUAGGUGAGCCUGGCGACGGUUGUCCAGGUCCAAGUAUGUAGGCUGAUGGUUUAGGCAAAUCCGGACCAUCUUAAGGCUGAGAUACGAUGUCGAGUCACUACGGUGACGAAGUCAUUGAUGCCAUGCUUCCGGGAAAAGCUUCUAAGCUUCAGAUUAUAAGAAAUCGUACCCCAAACCGACACAGGUGAUCAGGUAGAGAAUACCAAGGCGCUUGAGAGAACUCGGGUGAAGGAACUAGGCAAAAUGGUACCGUAACUUCGGGAGAAGGUACGCUCCUAGCGGUGAUGAGACUUGCUCUCUAAGCUGCCGGGAGUCGCAGAUACCAGGUGGCUGCAACUGUUUAUUAAAAACACAGCACUGUGCAAAAUCGAAAGAUGACGUAUACGGUGUGACGCCUGCCCGGUGCCGGAAGGUUAAUUGAUGGGGUUAGACUUCGGUCGAAGCUCUUGAUCGAAGCCCCGGUAAACGGCGGCCGUAACUAUAACGGUCCUAAGGUAGCGAAAUUCCUUGUCGGGUAAGUUCCGACCUGCACGAAUGGCGUAAUGAUGGCCACGCUGUCUCCACCCGAGACUCAGUGAAAUUGAAAUCGCAGUGAAGAUGCUGCGUCCCCGCGGCUAGACGGAAAGACCCCGUGAACCUUUACUAUAGCUUGGCACUGAACAUUGACCCUACAUGUGUAGGAUAGGUGGGAGACGUUGAAGCAACCGCGCCAGUGGUUGUGGAGUCAAUCUUGAAAUACCACCCUUGUAUGCUUGAUGUUCUAACGUUGGCCCCUUAUCGGGGUUACGGACAGUGCCUGGUGGGUAGUUUGACUGGGGCGGUCUCCUCCCAAAGAGUAACGGAGGAGCACGAAGGUGGGCUAAUCACGGUCGGACAUCGUGAGGUUAGUGCAAUGGCAUAAGCCCGCUUGACUGCGAGAAUGACAAUUCGAGCAGGUGCGAAAGCAGGUCAUAGUGAUCCGGUGGUUCUGAAUGGAAGGGCCAUCGCUCAACGGAUAAAAGGUACUCCGGGGAUAACAGGCUGAUACCGCCCAAGAGUUCAUAUCGACGGCGGUGUUUGGCACCUCGAUGUCGGCUCAUCACAUCCUGGGGCUGAAGUCGGUCCCAAGGGUAUGGCUGUUCGCCAUUUAAAGUGGUACGCGAGCUGGGUUUAGAACGUCGUGAGACAGUUCGGUCCCUAUCUGCCGUGGGCGUUGGAUGAUUGAGAGGGGCUGCUCCUAGUACGAGAGGACCGGAGUGGACGAACCGCUGGUGUUCGGGUUGUGUCGCCAGACGCAUUGCCCGGUAGCUAAGUUCGGAAUCGAUAACCGCUGAAAGCAUCUAAGCGGGAAGCGAGCCUCAAGAUGAGUCAUCCCUAGACCUUUAAGGUCUCUAAAGGGUUGUUGAAGACUACAACGUUGAUAGGUCGGGUGUGUAAGUGCUG